GGGCAGGAAGGCUGCCACCAAAGGGUCCCUGGGUCGGGACCCAGUGUAGAAGGUGGGCCUGGGUCCCCACCUUCCCCCUUGCAUGAACACCCAGCCAGUGGAUGUGGUGAGAGUGGACUGCAGCAGACCCCUGAUGCUAGGGGUAGACUUUGGGGUGUGGUUGACCAUGGUGGCGGGGGUGCAGAAGGACUGCUGAUAACAGACCCCUAGAAAGGGGUGAGACCGGAGCAGUGGGCACUGCUGGAGGGCAGUGUCCUGAAGAGGAUGCCGCCGAGCGGGAAGCAACGUGGGUCCAGACAACAGGAAAGGAGCAGAGGAUGGAUGGGACACCACUGGCAGAGGGUGCUCCUCCAAGGACUGACCUAAUUCAGUCACCAGUGGGAAGCGCUGUGGUGACACUGGAUAGAAGAACAGGAACACAGAUGGGAACCAAGAUCUCAGAGAAUGAUCAGGAACACAACAGGAAUUGGAGUUCAGGAACCUCUGCGACAGAAUUUCUUAUACAAAAGGAAACUAUUUCCACUUCCUUGCACCAGUCUGCCUGAUUAUAAUCUGAUGCAAAGCCUGCAUCCCUCUCAAUUGCUUUGAGAGACUCUACAGCAACAUUUUCCACUGACCUUUUCCAAAUUUCCUGAGAUUGUCUGGUACGUCAUGUCAGCGAUGUCAUGUAAAUACAGCAUGUCAAGAAAAAUCAGGUGACCUUUCUCAGAUUAUUUUGUAGUACACCGUUAGAAAUCCAAUUCUUGGUGCCCUACUGAUUGUGUAAUAAACAUGAUGAGAGCAUAUAUCAUUACAGCUGAAUUUGCUUCAUAUUGGCAUUUUGUGUGCCAUUGCAGUGGAAUAGAUGGAUGGUUCAACUCUGAAUGAGAAUAUCUCCCCAAUGGGACCUUUCCUGUUUCUCUUUAUUAUGAAUGGUCAUGACUGUUUUUAGUUAAAAUCCAAUGGGACUGAAAUGAGCUAGGAAAGGUUUUAUUUCUUCUUGACCUUUAGUGGCUCAUACAGUACUCUACAUCCCCUUAUUACACAAUAAAAGUAUUGGCUCUCUAUAGAAGAUUGUACUCAGAGACUGAAGGUGAUACAUUAACUUAUUGUCAAGACAAAGGGAAGUUCCAAGCUAUUAUCAAUGCCUACAUACAUCUGGAAGCU